GUUGACGAAGAUCCUCAAUAUAUACUUGAGAAUUAAUAUUUUUCUUCAAUCUUCUUAUCCUUCCUUUCAAUUUGACCCCCAGUCAUAUUACAACCCUUUAUUGACCUUAGAAUGGUCGAGUUCCUAUUAGUUGACAUCCUCUCAUGAGAUCAAUUUUGUUAUUUCACUCUUUUGCUCCUAUUUCACUCAUUUGCCCGCAGGCAAUUAUUCCUUCCAUAUAUUUGAGUGGCAAUUUUUUUCAACCUUCAUUACCUCUGUUGGCAAUAGUUUUUUUUUGGUUGAAUACUACACUUAAUAUUUGCAAAAAUAACUUUUGUUUGGGAUGUUCUCGACAUUGUAUGAGUUUUGGUUUGAUGGAAAGAUGGUGAAGAGCUUAACACACACACACACACAAGUUCUAGGAGUGUGCUUUGACAGACAAACUUUGAUAACAUUGUUGAUCUCUGGUGAAUGCUUUGUUUGAUGUGCCUGAAUAUUUUUGCUUAAUUCGUGUAAAAGGAUUUUCACUUGGGACGGGUAGCAAUACUCUUUCUUCGCUUGAAUUGCUAGGGACUAGCAACACGCUAGUUGGGGGUGUGAUAGAGUGAAUAAGAUUGCAUUUUUAAUGUUGAUUGCUCAUGAUUAUUUACUAAUAUACAAGUAUAUUUGGGAUUAAUAAUGAUAUUUUUAUAUAGUUGAAUGAAGGUCAAUCCUAAUUGUGGUGUUUACAAUUUUAUUGUAGAAAUGGAGCCCAAAAAUGACAAAGUUCAAGGCCCAUAAGAGAGGCCUCAAUUCAAGUGGACUUAACCCAGCCCAAUCAAAAUAAAAUAGAUUGGAAAGAUUAAUGAAGGGAGCAAAAUCUGUGGAAGACGUCUCUUGCUGUGAAGAAAUCCCGAAUUGGAAACACAUCUGUACUAUCCUUCGUAUUUUCACCAUAUCUCCCUCAUACGAUGUCGUAUUGAGCUGAUUCAAGAGGCCUUAGAAAGCUAAUUUAAUGUGCUACAAUUUCUCCUGUAACAGAGAUUUUGAAAUUCUCUCGUUUUCUAAGUGAAAAAUGGCCCACAAUCCAAUACUAAAAAUAUGCCGAAUUGAAGAUGCGAAUUCGGGAUUGAUUCUUUCUUUUCCUAGUGAAGAUGGCUUGAAAGGAGUGGAAGAGGAAAAAAAAAAGCAGAGGAUGACCAAGAAGGCUGGGACCAAGGUGGAUCGAUUCUUUUUCUUCCCUUUUGGCUAUCAAAAGAGGGAAGCCACUCCAAGAAAACGGGAGACCAGAUUCAUUGAGUUUUUCCUUCUUCCCAUCUCUUUCAAUUUCUUGAUGUUAACUCUUUAUUUAAACUUGUCUUCAAUUUUAGCAUGAAUUAAUUUCUAUCUUCUAGAGUUUGAGAUGUAGCCUAACUACGAUUAUGUGAAUCUUCCUUUACUUGAAUUAAUUGGUAUUUGUUCCAAUUGUUGAGUAUUUCAUUCUGGACUUAAUGCUUGUGAAUUGACUGAUCACCAUUCACUUGAGUUGGGAUUCAAUUUGAGAGAGAGAAGUAAUAAUUGUUUCGCCCAAUGUUUGAGAUAUCACAAGAAUUCUGUAGGAUAGAGAUAUCUAUGGACUUGUGUAAUCUUUAUGGGUUUAUUUUUGUUUUUAAUGAAUCUUGACAGGCUUAGAAUUUUCACAUAGAUGUAGAAAAUUUUCUUGUUGAGAUAUUUCGUUAAUGCUUGAGAAAGAUUAAUGAAUAAAUUAGAAAGACUUGAUUAUCAACAAUUAGGUACACUUACAAUUAAUUCAAUUAGGAUAUUCACAUAUGAGUAGUUAUGGUGAAUCAAAAACUCUAGAGUAUUGUUUUCUUGAUUUUAACUUGCUUGUUCAAUUCAUCUUAGUUUAAACUUUCCAGUUUAAUAAUUCAUUUACAUUUGAAUUGUCAAAUAGAUC
rnacentral:lncRNA from 1 species